AAGACCCCUUACGACAUCCUCCUCAGCCAAGUCAGAAACACUCUCAUCGAAGGACAACGGCGCAUCGAAGAAGAAAAAGUCCGCACCUACUGGGAAACCGGCCA
rnacentral:misc_RNA from 1 species